rnacentral:rRNA from 1 species
UGGGGAAUAUUGGACAAUGGGGGCAACCCUGAUCCAGCAACGCCGCGUGAAUGAAGAAGGCCUUCGGGUUGUAAAGUUCUUUUGUCCUGGAGCAAAGAUGUAUGUUUAAGAGAUGUGCAUAUGAGAGUACAGGAAGAAUAAGCACCGGCUAACUACGUGCCAGCAGCCGCGGUAAUACGUAGGGUGCGAGCGUUAAUCGGAAUAACUGGGCGUAAAGGGUGUGUAGGCGGAUGUAUAAGUUAGAUGUGAAAAGCCUGAGCUUAACUUAGGUCGUGCAUUUAAGACUGUAUGUCUAGAGUUUAUAAGAGGGAGGUAGAAUUCCAAGUGUAGCAGUGAAAUGCGUAGAGAUUUGGAGGAAUACCGAUGGCGUAGGCAGCCUCCUGGGAUAAAACUGACGCUG